GGCAGUUAUAAUUCUGUAGUGGACGGGUUAAUCUCUCGCGUCAGUCUCAUUUAGGUAUCGUGUAUUGCAUCUCCAGCUGAGUAAAGAGUUCGCAUUUUAUAAAAGAAGAAUUCAGAUAUAAAGGAAAAAUAAGAUAAAAGGAUACCUUAGACUAACUAACGCUAUUAAAAACAGCAACUGGUGCAGCAAGAAUUCUAGUACCAUCAACGUACAAACAUUUGUUGAAUCUACAUGUAAACUUCCAUGGCAAUCGCUUGGUUAUUCGCGAGAUUUCGUGAACGCCAGAUCAGGAGCAGUCGUUCCGAGGUACUUGGUAGAUGGGAGCAGCGACACUGAUUUCUCGAGAACUACUGGACAGAUUGACUUGAACUUCGACAAACCGAUAAAAGGAACGUGCAGCUAUCGUUUCCAUCGGAUUCAUCCGAUAUCUUAAAUUCUUUAGGGACUAAAAAGUUGACAACUUCUGGCUAAAAAUCGAAAGUUACACUUUUCGAGGUUGGCGAUUUAUUAAGAGUGUUUCUUACUUGUUUAUUUUAGUUGGGAC